UAAUUACCUGCUGGGUGAUUUUCUAUCUCGGGUGUCAUGGACUCGCGAUUUCCAACCGUAUAAAUCUAUGAUGGGUUUCUGACCAUCUUUUGGCAUCGGCUAUCUCGGUCAUGAUCACUAAACGAAUAGUGGGUAUGAGAUUUAUCGAUACACUAGAGGUUGCAAAAUUUUUGUGAAAAUAUUCUGUGAUUUGGUUAGCCGACUAAAUGAAAACUUCAUUUCACUUCAAACUACGACUACUGUAUUUAUCAAAUCUUUAAUUUGCCGCAUUAUUUAGAAAAAUGGCGAUACUGGAAGCUAUUGUCAAAUGAUUGUCAAAACAAACUACAAGGAACCAUCCAAAACAGAGAUUGAUUUUGGUGUGUGUUUUUUUAUAAUUACCUGAAUCCUGUGUUUUAAUUGUUCAUUAUAUCUAAGGAUGGCGCCUUUAAGAAAAGUCUCAGAUCGACAAAUGGACAUUUUGUUGGAGUUCGUUGAAAGACAUAAAGAGCUUGCUGUUGGCCGGUACCCUCCCGGCCUACUAGGCAUACAAUCAGCACGUUGGCUAUGGGACAGUGCAGCAUUACAAUUAUAUGAAUUAUAUUCAAUUGGGUCUGGAGUUACAAAAACUGGUCAAAAAUUCUGAUGGGCAUUCACAUGUAAAGUGGCAAUGUGCAAUCAUAACUUAAACAAGGUUAAAGUAGAAAAAUUAUUUUAAUAAUGAUUAUAGUAAGACUGGUAGAAGCAAAAUGUGAAAGGAAGUUAUGUGAUUUAAAAUCAAAAAUAAAAGCCAUUAAUAUAAAUUGUGUUUUUUAUUACUAAAUUAUACAUAUACAGCAAAAAUCAGCCUAUCAGAGUCAGGUUAUUUUAGUUCCUUGAAAUUCACAGCCUCUGGACAAGGUUGGCCCUCAUGCGCCCUAUCUGCAUCAGCAGCACCAUAAGCCACGUUACCAAUAUGCUGCACCCGAAUGUUACCAGCAGCAGGCAAGUUGUCGUCACUGGUAUAUUGUGUGCAUUUGCUAUAUUGUGUAGUACACAA